rnacentral:rRNA from 1 species
GUCCAGACUCCUACGGGAGGCAGCAGUGGGGAAUAUUGCACAAUGGGGGAAACCCUGAUGCAGCGACGCCGCGUGAGCGAUGAAGUAUUUCGGUAUGUAAAGCUCUAUCAGCAGGGAAGAAGAUGACGGUACCUGACUAAGAAGCCCCGGCUAACUACGUGCCAGCAGCCGCGGUAAUACGUAGGGGGCAGGCGUUAUCCGGAUUUACUGGGUGUAAAGGGAGCGUAGACGGCGAUGCAAGCCAGAUGUGAAAGCCCGGGGCUCAACCCCGGGACUGCAUUUGGAACUGUGUGGCUGGAGUGUCGGAGAGGCAGGCGGAAUUCCUAGUGUAGCGGUGAAAUGCGUAGAUAUUAGGAGGAACACCAGUGGCGAAGGCGGCCUGCUGGACGAUGACUGACGUUGAGGCUCGAAAGCGUGGGGAGCAAACAGGAUUAGAUACCCCCGUA